GUUUUCAUUGCAUACAGUUGAAAAAGUUCUCAGCUCUUAAUAUCAGGUAUUUGUAUCGAGACAGCAACCCGGAAGGAUAUGUCUCACUAUAAAUUAAAACCUGCUGCUUGAGCCUGGAGUAGGAAGCUCUUUCCAGAAGUAUUCUCUGGUGCAAGAUUGCCCUCUCUUAUCCUCAGUGGAAACACAGAUCUCAAGCAGCCUAGGCUGUUCAUCUUAGAGUUCUGUAGCAUGGCUUAAACAACAAUCUUCAGCCUUCCUUAUUCAAACCUCUGUUUCACUCACCAAAGGAAGACACUGCAUAAGCGUGCUUGGUUCUCACUAAAAAGUUUUGCCACCUCUCUUAACGAACUAACAAGUUUUAUUAUGCUUUGUGUAAGGUGAACUUUUCAAAUGGAGAGCAUUCUGAGUUGAGCUCCCUAUCCCAAGCCAGGUCCCAAAGCGAGCAGGCCGCCAGAUUUUAUGAAUCACUCCAGAUAUCUCAGACCGGGUAUAACACUUCCCUUCAUAGAAGAACACUGCUGAAUAAACUGAUUUGGGAACAGACUCGAAAUGGUUUCUGAUUUCUCUAAUAAUGAACAAGUUCGCAGCUUUUAGUAUUACUGAGUUAUUGGCAUUGAGGGGCGCAAACAGCAAGAACAUGCCUGCACUAGGAAUUGAAACCUGAGAAAGAAAUCAUGCCUGCUUGAGCUUCUGUAGGAAGCUCCUUCCAGAAGAAAUAUUCCCUGGGUGCAGAGUUGCCCUCUCUUAUUCACAGUGGAAACACAGAUCAUAAGCAGGCCAGGCUCUUCCUCUGUUUUCAGUACUGCGACACGUCUUAAGGAAAACACUCCAGGCCAGGCAUCCCCUGCUGCAGGGCCGUGCCCUGGUCUCACCCGGCCUCCUCUCUUGGCUGUGGAACUCCAAAGCCGAGGCAGAGCACAGGGAAGGCUGCCCUAGCAGCUGCGAAGACUCCUUUUGUGCUGGGGACACCUUCAUCUUGUCCUCUCUGGCCAGACUUCCACUCUGAGGAGACAACUCUGGAGGACCAGGAAGAGGGCGUUUGGAGAGUCACAACCCAGCCCCGCCAGCCACCGAAGAGGUUGGAGAAAGCUGGCUUGAUAAAAUAAUUUUUCCAAAAUUCUGAUCCUGUGAGAACAAAAAUGAGCCGAGGAGAAAACUUGAAGUUAACUCUUACCGUGACCUUGAAAUAUAAAUGCAGUCCACUUGGCCUGAGACUUUGGCCUUGGGUUAAAUAGUAGAACUUCAAUCAAAAAUAAAUAAAUAAAUAAAUAAACA
rnacentral:lncRNA from 1 species